CGUCACUUCCGGCGUCACAGACGGUCUUUACAAGCGACUCGUGGGCGUCAAUACUGGGCUGAGUUUGUGGCGCGCUUAGUGAUGGGAUGGCCCUGUGCAGGACGCCGACACGAAAAGAUGAAGAGUUCAAUCCGUGCUGUCUGAACUCACAGUGUAGCAGGCGAGAUAGACGGGAAGAUCGGUAGGGUGGGAGAUGCCGGAAAGGCUUCCCGUGAGACUGGAUAAGAAAUCAAAAAUCUGGUGAAAUUGCCGGCAAGAGGGAGUUAAGGACAUUCCAGGCAGAGGCAAGCUAUUUGACAGACCAUAUGCUCUAUUGAACUUUGCCACUGCAUCACAACUAGACCCUGAACAGGAUGGAUUUCUGGACUUCUGAAAGUUGGUCCUUGCUGGCUGAUCCAGCUUCCCCGUCAGCAUAUGGUGAGCAGUUCGGUGAGAGGACCACACUUCCAAUACUGGCAGUCCAGAUUCCUAAGAUGAGGACACAGCAUCCUGGGCCACUGUCACUAAUACAAAUUUGCCUCUGGAGGGACUCUACGGAAGAUAAUUCCCCUGAAAUUUGGAGAGUUGAAUUAAGCUAGGACUGAUUCUGGCUGGAAUUUGUGGUGGCUACGUACCCUAGAGGGCCUCAAGGAAACCCACGGUUCAAGACAGCCCUGACAGAUUCUGGAGUCUAGAACAGAAAUGGAUUUGAACAUGGGCAAGGCCAACCACCCAGUUCACGGCCUGUGUACAGCAAAGAUUACGUUACAGCCUGAGAGCUAAGCCUGGAAGCUCUUUCAUCCAUCCGUUUGUCCAUCUAUCCAUCCAUCUGCUCAUCCAUCCCUCCAUCUGCUCAACAAACGUUAGAGAAUCAAUCCUUGUGUCAGAUACUGGGGCUGCCCUCAAGGAGCUUUUAUAGAGUUCAGGGUACAGCCAGGUGGGGGAGACAGAUCACUAUAAAAACCUACCACUAUAAUCCAAAGGACAAGAGCAAAAAUAGUAAAGAGGAGAGAAGACCCAAAUUUGCCUGGUGGGUCAGAGAGGGCUUUCUAGAAGAGGUAAAAAAUCUUCGGGGCUAUCACUUCACCUUGCCUGGUGGAUAAAGGGAGGACUUUCCAGAUACAGUGGACAGAAUGUGCAGAGGCAGGAGCCAUGAGUGGCAGAGGCAGGGGAGGGACUGCAGAGACAGGUUGGAGCCAAAGCACGUGGCACUGGAGCCAUAGCCAAAGGAACAAACUGUGAGACCUGGGACUUGAAUUUGGAGGUGGUGAAAAGUGACAAGGUCUUCACAGAAGAGUGAUUUUUUCAACUUAGGGAAGGCUGACCCCAGACCAAUGCUGCCAAAGUGUGGUCUGUGGGCUGUUAGCAGUUCGUGACGAUGUAAGUACAGGAAUUGAGAUUAAGCAUUUAGAACACCUACAGCACUUUGAUAGUCAUUUUACUUUUUAAAUUUUGAGCUGGCAUUUUAUAUGCCUGGUUUUUUUUUGUUUUUGUUUUUUUAUUUUUUUUGAGACAGUCUCGCUCUGUCGCCCAGGCUGGAGUGCAGUGGCGCGAUCUCUGCUCACUGCAAGCUCCGCCUCCCGGGUUCACGCCAUUCUCCUGCCUCAUCCUCCCAAGUAGCUGGGACUGCAGGCGCCUGCCGCCUCGCCCAGCUAAUUUUUUGUAUUUUUAAUAGAGACGGGGUUUCACCAUGUUAGCCAGGAUGGUCUCAAUCUCCUGAUCUCGUGAUCUGCCCGCCUUGGCCUCCCAAAAUGCUGGGAUUACAGGUGUGAGCCACCACGCCCAGCCUUAUUCUCUUUUUCUAAUAGUUGCACUUUAUCAUAUUUUACAAAUGUGUGAGUCUGCUAUGGAUUAGAAAUUAAUAAGAGAUUUUGCCACAGAUAGUUUGAGAAGCCCAGCACUGCCACUCAACAAAUGCUGGUGCAUUCAGAUGGUGAAAUAUUCUGCAGCUAUUAAAGGAGUUAAAACUGCCUCCACUUACCUGGAGGCCCAUCUGUGACACCUUUUUAGGUUAAAAGGAAAAGAAAAACUUGCUUAGGACUGAAUAUGAGCGGUUGCAAUUUGUAACAAUGAUGUAUAUAUACAUAUACAUUUUCAUGUAUUUGUAUGAACAUAAAAGUAUUGAAGGAUAUUCAUCAAACUGCUAAAAGGGUUGCUUCAGAGUAACGGACUCGGAGAAGGCAGAUUAAUUUUCUCUUAAUGGAACUCUGUAUUGUAUCACUUGUAAAAAUAAGCAUGUGUUAUCUUUAUGAUAAAAAAGUAAAAACCUAAAAAAGAAAAUUUUGAUGUGUGUUAAAAUUUUGGAUUUCUAGGCUCCACCUUUUUUGAAUGAGUCUCUCCAAGAGUGGGGCCCUCACAUGUAUAAUGAGAAAAAGCUCCCCGAUUACAGGAUGUUACCAAGCCCCGCUAGGUGUAGGAACCCUGCUUGGUACCCACCCGAGCCUCAGCAGCUCCUCCCCAUCAUGGGCAUGAUGAGGUCUCCCUGUGAGGUGUUGUGAAGACGACGGGACAGGCUGCAGUAGGCACUGAAUAAAUGAGUCCCUUCCCCUGAUGACCCUAAGGCUAUGGGAUCAUCAUCACUCCCUCCCCAAAGCCACACCUGAUUAUUCCAGCCAGCACUCGGCCUGCCCCUUUUCUGAAUGCUUUUUGAUUUUAACUUACAUUUUUCGCAUUUAAAUGUUUCAUUUAAUUUGAGAAAGAGUCUCGCUCUGUCACCCAGGCUGGAGUGCAGUGGUGCGAUCUCAGCUCACUGCAGUCUCCACCUCCUGGGUUCAAGCAAUUCUCCUGCCUCAGCCUCCCAAGUAGCUGGGAUUACAGGCGCCCACCACCACAUGUGGCUAAUUUUGUACUUUUAGUAGAGAUGGGAUUUUGCCAUGUUGGCCGGGCUGGUCUCGAACUCCUGACCUCAAGUGAUCCACCUGCCUCAGCCUCCCAAAGUGCUGGGAUUAGAGGUGUGAACCACCACAGCUGCCUUCUUUUAAUUUGUAUUUUCUAUCUCUGCGGACAAGACUUCAAAGGUGUCUAUCACAUACUUUCAGAUCUACUGAUCAUCCUCUGAAAACCAACAUCGGGGUUCACAAAAUGGAUUUAACCAAUUGGGCUCCCCAGUUCUUCUUCCAGACUCCACCCCUCCAACAGUGUCUCCAAUGACUUCCUGGCAUCACUGAACAGGUCCUUCACUUUGCCACCUCUGAGCCUUUGCUUGAGUGUUUUCUUUCCCCUGGAAUAUCCUUUCCAACCCUAUACACCGACUGAGUCAAACCUUCUGUCUUCUUUUUGAGCAUUUAUGAGCUCCUAUCAUGAGCCAUGCAUUAUGUAAGGGACCUUACAAACACAAUCAGUCUAUGUAACAAUCCUGCCAAGUAUGCUUUAUUUUGGGCAUGGGGAAACAGAGGCUCAAGAGAAGUGACCUGCCCCAGGUUUCAGUGCCAGCACACUAGUAGAGCUGGGAUUUGAACCCAGGUUUGUCUUUUGCACUGGAUUCAGCUUCCUUGCAGACCGCAGCACCUCACAUACAGCCCUUCACUGACCAGCAAUUGGAGGGAAACCACCCCUGUGGCUUAAAACCUGUGGUGCCACAGAUCAUUCCACUCAGUCAAACCCCCAAGACCGUAGAAGUGCAUUUAACACAGCAGCUCCUAGGCACAGGAUUGUCACCUCAGGGCAUAUGACUUCUAAAGUUGCAGAUUAUAAACUUGUUCUCUUUCCCUGUCCUCAG
rnacentral:lncRNA from 1 species